rnacentral:rRNA from 1 species
AUGAGGCAAGUCAUUAAGUUGCAAGCCUAUUAUCCUGAAAGUCAAAUUAAAUCAAUUCGGAUGGACAAUGCUGCAGAAUUCUCCUCACGUGCUUUCAAUGAUUAUUGCAUGGCUUUGGGGAUUGAAGUUCAGCACUCUGUUUCAUAUGUCCAUACACAAAAUGGUUUGGCUGAAGCAUUGAUUAAGAGGAUCAAACUCAUUGCAAGACCUUUGUUGACGAAUUGCAACUUGCCAACCUCUUGUUGGGGUCACGCUGUUUUACACGCUGCUGACUUGAUACAAUUGAGGCCAACUGCAUAUCACAGUUCUUCCCCUCUGGAAUUGGUACGUGGAAAUCCUCCAAGCAUUUCCCAUCUGCGUAAGUUCGAAUGUGCUGCAUACAUCCGGAUCUCACCACCACAGCGGACAUCUAUGGGCCCACACAGGAAGUUGGGGAUCUAUGUGGGGUACAAAUCGCCGUCGAUUAUCAAGUACAUGGUGUAA